UCAGCCGGCCGGGCAACCGCGCUUCGGACCUCGGUCCGCGGUGAGGAAAGUCCGGGCUCCACGGAAACACGGUGCCGGAUAACAUCCGGCGGGGGCGACCCCAGGGAAAGUGCCACAGAAAGCAAACCGCCCCGCCUGUAUUCCGGUUCUGUCGCGGACCGGAAUACCGGCGGGGUAAGGGUGAAAGGGUGGGGUAAGAGCCCACCGCGUUGCUGGCAACAGGAACGGCAUUGCAAACCCCACCGGGAGCAAGACCGAAUAGGGGUGGCGAGGACGCAAGUCCGGGCCCGUUUCCGGGUCGUCGCCCGGGUUGGUCGCUAGAGGCAGGAUGCAAAUCCUGUCCCAGAGGAAUGGUUGCCACGCAAUUCCAUAUCCAUGGCGUUGCCAUACAGAACCCGGCUUACAGGCCGGCUGACGCU
rnacentral:RNase_P_RNA from 1 species